rnacentral:lncRNA from 1 species
CUUGUUUUCUGUUCACUGAAUCACAAUUCUUCUCUCUUUUUACCAUCAGUCCAUCUUACAGCCAUCAAUAAGAAAAACAAUUAUCUUCAUAUUAGGCUUAUUAUAUUUUCUUGUCUGUAGUAUUAUAAUGUACAUAUGCUUUUCUGUUCAUUGAAUCACAAUUCUUCACUCUUUUUACCAUCAAUCCAUCUUCUUACAGUUGCAUGUUUUUUUGGCUGUCCAGAUGACCAAGCCCAAGGAGGAAGCAGCUGCUCAUCACUGAGGACAAGUAACUCCAGCAGGUUGAUGCCGUAGAUUCACAAUGUACCUUCUAUAUGCCCAUCCAGUUCUGUGAUUUGUGUCUUGAAACCCAAAAAACCCCAUGCCCAUGUGGGAGCUGAACCAUAGUAUUUUGCUUGUGGAACAUAAUAUCCUUGGCUGAAUUGACUUGAGGUGGUUUCUUCGAAAUUCUUGGAAAUGCUUUGGUAGUCUUUCGGCGAGAAACUAUUUCAUACUGAAGUUUACUGGUACAUGUGUGGUUUGCUACUGUUACUUCGUUUGGGUUGGGUUGGUUCCAGCGGGGAGAUGUGCACGCACGCUGGUAGAAUGAGCUAGCAGCCAUGAUUGUCAGCCAGCCACCACCAUGUAAAUGUAAUAAUUGUGUGGCCUAUCUAGUGUGCUGCUGUUAGAAAUAUAGAUGUGCGUCCUAUCUAGUGUGCUGCUGAUAAUCUAUUUUUACCUCACUUGGUAGGCACCAUAAUCUGUUUUUACCUCACUGUACUGUCGGAAUAAAUGUGUGCCCUAUCUAGUGUGCUGCUGAUAGAAAUAUAGAUGGAAGAUUAGUUGACUAGUUAUGCAAUCUAUAAUCCUUCAUAUGGAAGAUCCGUUGUCUAUGCGUGCUGCUGCUUCAUACACGUUUAAUCAAAUCUAUCAAGUAGCUGUUGUCAUGUUAUGCUUGUUGUAUUAACAUCCAAUUUAGUUGCGUAUUGCCAGUUCAAGUUUUUUUAGUACAUAUCAUGUUCUAUUUUGCUAUUGAACACCUUCCAACUUAUAUGCUGAAUUGCCUUGUACACAUAAUUGUUUGUAAUAUAUGGGAAAGCUGUUAAUAGUCAGCUGACCUCAUGAACUGUAAAAAUAUAUCAAAAUCUUGUGUUGUUAAAGUGAGCUUAUUGUCAAUUCUUGCUUAUAAGCUAUGUUUGAUGCUGUCCACAGGUUCUUAUUCUUCUUUUUUUUUUUGCAUAGAUGAAGUAUGAAGUGUGAAGCCGUGAAGCCUAUCAGCAAGAGUAGCACAUUAUGUAUUGUAAUAUCAGGAGUGUAAUAUUAGUCAGAGUAGCAUAUUAUGUAUUGUAACAUUUAGUGUUGUUUCGGAUGAAUUUCAUUUGCUCUAUAGUCUGUUUGAAAUAUUGAUUGUGUAUAUAUUUUCAAUACCUAUGAAAUGGAAACCUGACGAGGGGGACCAACUUAUGAAAAUUGUUUGACAAAUUUUGAAAUUUUUGAUAUGUGGGUCCAAUUGUG